ACGAAGCUGAGUGGUGGGUGGGGGGUGGUGAGACUCGUUUCAGGUUCGAAGCGAAUUCCGGGAGCCGCACCGAGCCCACAUCCACCCCGUGCUGAGUGGUGCCUCCUCACUUCGCCCUCUCACUUUGUCAAGCGGAGCCCACCGAUGUUUGCUGGCUGACAGCGAGGGAAUGAGUGAUGUGGCUGAGUGGUUAUGUGGCUCAGUGGUGAUGCUUGUCUCAUUGCUUCACGUCGGAAGUAUAUCCUGGGUAGAGAAAUGGUGGCCGCAUCCAGCCUCAUCUUCUAACUGCCCUACCCUUCAGGCUGAGGUGGGCAUCACGUGGCGAGUGGUGCGAGUAUACGCGUACUGAAGUGAGAAGCGACAACUGGGAUCAGCGUCUCCUCGAAUGAUGAUUCCUGCAGUGUUUUUCGAUAAGAAGGCCCGGUAGCCAGACAGCAAGGCCCGUUAGUGUGUGGCUACAGUGGACUGUGCAGGAUGUCACCGUGAAACGAGUUCUUCCCGUGUCCCGCUGUGUACGAGACGCACAAAAUACCGUGAACGCAUCCGUGAAACCUGACAGUCGCCACAUCUGUCCCAACAUUGUCUUCCAAGGCAAAUCCUUCCUCUGGUUGACUGCAGCAAAAAUCCACCACCAAAAAGAAGAGAUUUCCUUCUCUUCAGCUGUCCACCACAGGGGGAGAGGUGGUUUGGGAAGUCUUCACACCUCGGGCAUAUAUCUUUCCCCAUCCAUACAGCCAGCACCUGUAAGAGAACAGCAAAUGUGUGUUAUAGACUUGAUGACCACUGUUCGUGGUAAACAAGCAUCUGUGUUGUAAGAGUUCAGAGGACUCCCAAAUUUAUUUAUUUAUAUUUAUUUAUUUUUUUUUAAUAAAUUCUCAGGCUGGCGAA